UUACGGUCAAAUCACGCUGAAAACACCGGUUCUCGUUCGAUCACCGAAGUUAAGCAUCGUAGAGCCAGGUCAGUACUUAGAUGGGGACCGCUUGGGAAAUCACCUGGUACUGUAA